GCUGGCGGCGUGCUUAACACAUGCAAGUCGAACGAUCCUUCGGGAUAGUGGCGGACGGGUGAGUAACGCGUGGGAAUCUGCCCUCAGGAGGGGGAUAACGGCUGGAAACGGCCGCUAAUACCCCAUAUGCCGAGAGGUGAAAUGAAUUUCGCCUGAGGAUGAGCCCGCGUCUGAUUAGCUAGUUGGUGGGGUAAAGGCCUACCAAGGCAACGAUCAGUAGCUGGUCUGAGAGGAUGAUCAGCCACACUGGGACUGAGGCACGGCCCAGACUCCUACGGGAGGCAGCAGUGGGGAAUUUUCCGCAAUGGGCGAAAGCCUGACGGAGCAACGCCGCGUGAGGGAUGAAGGCCUCUGGGCUGUAAACCUCUUUUCUCAAGGAAGAAGACCUGACGGUACUUGAGGAAUAAGCCACGGCUAAUUCCGUGCCAGCAGCCGCGGUAAUACGGGAGUGGCAAGCGUUAUCCGGAAUUAUUGGGCGUAAAGCGUCCGCAGGCGGCCUUGUAAGUCUGUUGUUAAAGCGUGGAGCUCAACUCCAUUUAAGCAAUGGGAACUACAAGGCUGGAGUGUGGUAGGGGCAGAGGGAAUUCCCGGUGUAGCGGUGAAAUGCGUAGAUAUCGGGAAGAACACCAGUGGCGAAGGCGCUCUGCUGCGCCAUAACUGACGCUCAUGGACGAAAGCCAGGGGAGCGAAAGGGAUUAGAUACCCCUGUAGUCCUGGCCGUAAACGAUGAACACUAGGUGUCGGGGGAAUCGACCCCCUCGGUGUCGUAGCCAACGCGUUAAGUGUUCCGCCUGGGGAGUACGCACGCAAGUGUGAAACUCAAAGGAAUUGACGGGGGCCCGCACAAGCGGUGGAGUAUGUGGUUUAAUUCGAUGCAACGCGAAGAACCUUACCAGGGUUUGACAUCCUGCGAACCCCUGAGAAAUCGGGGGGUGCCUUCGGGAGCGCAGAGACAGGUGGUGCAUGGCUGUCGUCAGCUCGUGUCGUGAGAUGUUGGGUUAAGUCCCGCAACGAGCGCAACCCACGUCUUUAGUUGCCAGCAUUCAGUUGGGCACUCUAGAGAGACCGCCGGUGAUAAACCGGAGGAAGGUGUGGAUGACGUCAAGUCAUCAUGCCCCUUACAUCCUGGGCUACACACGUACUACAAUGCUACGGACAAAGGGCAGCAAGCUCGCGAGAGUUAGCAAAUCCCAUAAACCGUGGCUCAGUUCAGAUCGUAGGCUGCAACUCGCCUACGUGAAGGAGGAAUCGCUAGUAAUCGCAGGUCAGCAUACUGCGGUGAAUACGUUCCCGGGCCUUGUACACACCGCCCGUCACACCAUGGAAGUUGGCCAUGCCCGAAGUCGUUACUCCAACCCUUGUGGAGGAGGACGCCGAAGGUGGGGCUGAUGACUGG
rnacentral:rRNA from 1 species